UGCUUUAUGCAGCAGCAAUAUCAUAGCCAGUGAUUUUUAUCUGAGGUAUGACUAUUGCUAAUUGAAAAAUUUCCCCAGGAGAGACUGCCUUUGAUGCAGUUAAUGAAAAAGUAUAGGAAGGAUAGUUUUCCUAAAC